rnacentral:rRNA from 1 species
UAGGGAAUCUUCCACAAUGGGCGAAAGUCUGAUGGAGCAACGCCGCGUGAGUGAAGAAGGGUUUCGGCUCGUAAAACUCUGUUGUUAAAGAAGAACAUAUCUGAGAGUAACUGUUCAGGUAUUGACGGUAUUUAACCAGAAAGCCACGGCUAACUACGUACCAG